ACUGUUCAAGGACAACAGGCUUUAUAGUGCAAAUGUAACAACUGUAAUAAAAUGCCUAAUGAAGUUGAAAAUGUAUGCUGCUUGGAAAUACAAAAGGUUGUGAGGCAAAUGAACCAGGUUUCAGGCCCUCUACAAUGCAUGACACACCACCCAGGCUUCGAACCUAACUGUUUAAUUCCUUACACCCUCCAGAACAUUAAUAACAUUUACAGAGCUGAUUUUGGAUCCC